GGUACGCGAGCUGGGUUCAGAACCUCGUGAGACAGUUCGGUCCCUAUCUGCCGUGGGCGUUGGAGAUUUGAGAGGAGCUGCUCCUAGUACGAGAGGACCGGAGUGGACGUACCUCUGGUGUACCGGUUGUCACGCCAGUGGCAUCGCCGGGUAGCUAAGUACGGAAUGGAUAACCGCUGAAAGCAUCUAAGGGGGAAGCCAACUUCAAGAUAAG
rnacentral:rRNA from 1 species